GUACGGCGUAAUUCAUGCUCUGGCAGCGAUCAAGUCCCAGCCAGCCGAGCACAGCAACAGCCCAGCAACACAGACCAGACGCCUAGAUAUUUAGGUAUUGGAUCCCUCGUUCUGCCUUUGAAAAGGCCACUGAGCUCUGAGACCGGGUCAUGUCGGAAGGAGACUGAACCAGGAUACCCCAAGUGGGUGCACAGAUGGAUGUGCCCCUCCUCCAGUUUGCACUGAUCACUCCUCCCUUUAAAAGCCAGACGCUCCUACCAGUCU